CCUUGCUAGUGCCAGGUUAUAAAUUGCAUGCAGCCACAAAACGACUGAAAGGAUUUCUGACUUUCAAAAUAUGAUCCAGAGUCUCCAAUAGAUUCUGGAUGUGGCUGGAGAUGUGAAGAGGUGCUUCCUGGCCAUCAAGUUCCGGGGGCAGGAAGCCCAAUAUCAAGAUGCCGGCAGGAUUGGUGUCUGCCUUAACUCAUUCCAGCAUCAGCUCCAAAGUCCAGCCUCAUCUAAACAUCAUCUAACUCGGGGAUGGUGAAACUGGAGCUAUAACUCCUCCUGAGGCAAAUUCCUGUCCUGCUGUGAACCUGUGGAACCAGGUAAGCACAUGCUUCCAAAACACAUGGUGGGACAGGCACAGGGCAGGCAUUUCUGGUCCAAAGGGAGAAACGGGAAAGAAGGAAGGGGUGAUGGGUCCGAAGAAAGUCCAAAAGUUAGCAAGGCAAAUCCCACCAGGUCACCAGGCUCAGACUAAUCCUCUUCGGUUCAGGGCUCUGCCUUCCAGACCCACGGGGGCAGUGGUCCCACCUCUGAAGCUCUUCCAAGUGGGGGUGGGGGGCUCCCUCAAGGCUACCGAGGGGGUGGCCUGAUCAUCUCUGAACAGCCUUCAGGGUCCUUCUUCCCUUUCCUUGAAGAACAGUGUUCAUUUCCUAAGGAAUGGCUCUUUGGGCUGGCCCUGUAGCACCUCAGAAGUCCAACAGGCUUCCUUCAUUCUGUCCUCUCUCUCGUCUCCUUCAGUUCCUCCUGGCAGCACCUUUGCUGGUAUGAGCCCUUCUCUAUUCCUGGCUUCCACUGAGAGGACUGAUUGGAUCUCUGGUCACACCCAAGAUCUCUGUAUGAAAUGGGUGUUCAGCCACACCCUUAUGUUCUAUCAGAACAAACUUUCUCUUUUUUUAUUUUUUGCAAUAUGGCAGACUUCUCCAAGUUCUGGUUCCUUUUUGCUUAACAGGUCUUUCUUCCAUUCAUCUCUUCCUUUUGCAUUUCACUCUAAGGAUUCCGGAGAAACCAGGCUGCUCCUUCAAUACUUUGCUUAGAAAUCUCCUCAGCUAAAUAUCCAAUUUCAUGGCUCAAAAACUGUACCUUCCACAAAAUACUAGAACACAGUUCAGCCAGGUUCUUUGCUAUUUUCCACAAGGAUCGCCUUUUCUGUAGUUUCC